CCGUGAUCCCGUCCCUUUCUGUUUUGAAAAUGGUACAACUAACUUUACCAGCAAAUAAGUAAUAAAUCUAAAUUACAUACGUGGAGCUUUCUCCAAUCGUGGGAGAGCAUCUGUCAUAGAGGAAAACAAAAAAUUGCAACCAAAGCAUUAGAGGAUGAUUAUAUUAUAUAUACUUUUACACUGAGAUUGGAGAAGUAUCAGUAUUUG
rnacentral:misc_RNA from 1 species